rnacentral:lncRNA from 1 species
AAGAGGUGGCGCCUUUCAGAGUCACAAUCAUAGCAAUGCAACUGUAGAACUGACAGAGUGAAGGAGCCAAUCUACCAGAAGUGAUGCAGUAAACUAGAAAAUGAGGACACAGAGGCAGAUGAGCCCCCAGCACUGCCUGGAGGAAGAGAGGCAGAGGAUGGGAGAUACCAGUACUCUGGGUUGUUCCUGUGGUAAGUUCCUCCAGCAUAAAAACAAGACAAAGUUUCUGCAGAGCUGCUCUAACCCAAUAAUAAAAUUGGACAAUAAGCUGCAUAUCUGCCGGAAACCUGGGACUGGCAAUGGAGAUGAGAAGAGAAUCAGAAGGCUGAAAUGAAGCCACAAUGUUGACAGCAAGUGGAGUCUGGCAACCCCAAGUUUCCAAAGUGCACAUCUGCGCUGGGGCCUGGAGAUUUCUGGAAGGGAAUCAGUCUGUGUCCUUUUUGCAGGUCUGUGUCCUUGUACGUAUUUGCAUCUACUAAUUUACAUAUUAAACUUAUAAAAUUGUCAUUAAAUCUACUCCUACCAUAUAAUAUUCAAUAGCUUCAUAAUAUCCAUUAUAGAGCCGCACAAAAAUUUAUUUAAGCAAUAUAUAUUGCUUGGCAUUAUCACUGUUUAUUUGACUUAUUGAAGUAAACCACACCGAGAUGUUGUAGAUAGGUUCUUGUACAUUUUCCUGAUGAAAAAUUUCUAAGAGUAAAAUCUAUGGGUCACAGCAAUCACGUUACUGGGUAUAUAUUCAGAAGACUGUAAAUCAUUUUACCAUAAAGAAACAUGCAUAUGAAUGUUCAUUGCAG